rnacentral:rRNA from 1 species
CGGCACGGGUGAGUAACACGUAUCCAACCUGCCGUCUACUCUUGGACAGCCUUCUGAAAGGAAGAUUAAUACAAGAUGGCAUCAUGAGUCCGCAUGUUCACAUGAUUAAAGGUAUUCCGGUAGACGAUGGGGAUGCGUUCCAUUAGAUAGUAGGCGGGGUAACGGCCCACCUAGUCUUCGAUGGAUAGGGGUUCUGAGAGGAAGGUCCCCCACAUUGGAACUGAAACACGGUCCAA